rnacentral:rRNA from 1 species
UACCAGCACCCCGAGUGGUCGGGACGUUUAUUGGGCCUAAAGCAUCCGUAGCCGGUUCUACAAGUCUUCCGUUAAAUCCACCUGCUUAACAGAUGGGCUGCGGAAGAUACUAUGGAGCUAGGAGGCGGGAGAGGCAAGCGGUACUCGAUGGGUAGGGGUAAAAUCCGUUGAUCCAUUGAAGACCACCAGUGGCGAAGGCGGCUUGCCAGAACGCGCUCGACGGUGAGGGAUGAAAGCUGGGGGAGCGAACCGG